GACGAACGCUGGCGGCGUGCUUAACACAUGCAAGUCGAACGCUGAAGCUCAGCUUUUGUUGGGUGGAUGAGUGGCGAACGGGUGAGUAACACGUGAGUAACCUGCCCCCUUCUUUGGGAUAACGCCCGGAAACGGGUGCUAAUACUGGAUAUUCACUGGUCUUCGCAUGGGGGUUGGUGGAAAGGGUUUUUCUGGUGGGGGAUGGGCUCGCGGCCUAUCAGCUUGUUGGUGGGGUGAUGGCCUACCAAGGCUUUGACGGGUAGCCGGCCUGAGAGGGUGACCGGUAACAUUGGGACUGAGAUACGGCCCAGACUACGACGGGGGGCAGUAGUGGGGACAAUUGCACAAUGGGCGGAAGACUGAUGCAGCGACGCCGCGUGAGGGAUGGAGGCCUUCGGGUUGGGAACCUCUUUCGCUCAUGGUCAAGCCGCAACAAUGGUUGUGGUGAGGGUAGUGGGUAAAGAAGCGCCGGCUAACUACGUG
rnacentral:rRNA from 1 species